rnacentral:rRNA from 1 species
UACGUAGGGUGCAGGCGUUAUUCGGAAUUACUGGGCGUAAAGCGUGCGCAGGCGGUUUGCUAAGUCAGGUGUGAAAUCCCCGGGCUUAACCUGGGAACUGCGCUUGUAACUGGCAAGCUUGAGUGUGGCAGAGGGGGGUGGAAUUCCACGUGUAGCAGUGAAAUGCGUAGAUAUCUGGAGGAAUACCGGUGGCGAAGGCGGCAUCCUGGACCGGCAUUGACGCUGAGGAGCGAAAGCUAGGGGAGCAAACGGG